GCCCGGCUGGCUCAGUCAGCAGAGCAUGUGACUCUUGAUCUCAGGGUCAUGAGUUCAAGCCCCAUGUAAGGUG
rnacentral:tRNA from 1 species